AGCUCCAAUAGCGUAUAUUAAAUUUGUUGCAGUUAAAAAGCUCGUAGUUUGAAUUCUGGCCGGAGCGGUUGGUGCGACUCUCUGAGUUGUUACUUGCAUCGUCUCUGGCCAUCCUUGGGGAGAACCUGUCUGGCAUUAGGUUGUCGGGCAGGGGGUACUCAUCGUUUACUGUGAAAAAAUUAGAGUGUUCAAAGCAGGCUUACGCCGUUGAAUAUACUAGCAUGGAAUAAUAAUAUAGGACCCUUGUACUAUUUUGUUGGUUUGUGCACGAGGGUAAUGAUUAACAGGGACAAUUGGGGAUAUUUGUAUUUCAGUGGAAGAGGUGAAAUUCUUGGAUUUCUGAAAGACAAACAACUGCGAAAGCAUUUAUCAAGGAUGUUUUCA
rnacentral:rRNA from 1 species